rnacentral:tRNA from 1 species
GGCCGCUUGGUCUAGUAGUAUGAUUCCUGUUUUGGGUACGUGGCACUUGUAUACAGGAGGUCUCGAGUUCAAUUCUCGCAGCGGCCC